AGCCAGAGCCAUCCUGGGCUCAGAUAACAAGGAUUUGCCACGGUGCCCUGGGUUUUGUGGAGAAGUCACGCUUUUUGAUCCAGAAAAGGUGUGAGCUGCAGCUGCUCAGCCAACAACAGGGAAUUCAGCAGGCGAAGAAGAUUUGCACAGAGGAGCAACUGUGAGUGACAAGACAGCACAUAUGCACCUUGCCCAGCCCCUCCCUGCCAGCGGAGGAUUGUGCAUUUGUUGAUGGCCUGACAAUGGAGAUCUGCAGGCUGAUGAGAGAAUGUCAUGCUCAGUUCCCCCUACAAAAACAAUGGAUCAUAAUUGUCAGAGAUAUGGUGUAUGUCUGGACAGUGCACUGGACACCAGAUGGGCAGGAGAGCAGGCUAGGACUCAGUCUGGCGUCAGAGUCAACAGCUGCACUGCGGGCACCAAGUUUCCUUAGAAGGACACUGCACCUGGCAUUGAACCGGGACAUCCCUACAUGGGCAGCAGGGGGCCAACCUUGGUGAUACAGUGUCCUCUGGCUCCAUUCCAUUUAACUCUGGCCGAUCUUACCUCGACCUCAGCCCCAGCGAGCAAUGUGAUGUGUUGCUGUGGAACACACCCUCACCAUCUCACAGACCUGGCAUGAGACACUGGAUUAUCAGACAGAAACUUGGUUAAAUGAUGUUAAGGUUCCAAAGUGAAUCCCUUAAAAAUCAGGAAAUAGCUACAAUAAGUUUGCACGUGCACCCUUAACUCGGCCCUCUUGUACAUAUACAUUAUAAUAUAGGUUCUGACCUUGCACUGCCCUCCACCUUGUCUAACCACGUAGACAUGUGCAAAAUAAAUACAAAGUGGAGUGAAACAUUGCCAGAUCAGAACUAUCCCCUCACCCCGUGAGAGUGUUUUACAGCCAUUUAGCAUAGGUGUCAAUGAUGACAUACAGGGAAGACAGUGGGGGAUCAGGCAGUCUUUACAACAACAUGCUACUAUUUCUGCAGGACCACAGGUUCAUUCAAGCCCCGAUUCAGGAAAACAUCCCUAGUGAGGGCAGCACUUAAGGACAUGCAUAAGUCCUAUUUAACAUGCUUAAAGUGCUGUCCUGAAUCAGUGUGCAGGUUGGACAUUGCACAGUGUAAGAAGGAAGUUGCUACAUUUAUUUUUAAAUAACUUAGUAGGGUGCACACUUGUGGCCAAACCAAACUGAAAUGAACCCUUUUCUCUGUGCAAGUUCCAGGAACUUUUUUUCACUCUCAUUCUGCAACAAAUGAUUUUUAUUCUAUUAAAUGAGUGCAGCCCAGCCUCAUGACAGCACACUGUCCCGCCUGCACUCCUGAAGUAGAUUCUGCUCUCAGCGAGGCUGGUGCAGAUUUGAAGCUCGUUGACUUUAAUGGAUUUACUUCAGAUUUAUCCUGCAGUAACAAAUUUGGAUUAGAACAAGUCAGGGAUCCAUGGGACCCUUGCUUCAUUCCCGGAGCCCCAUCCAUCCUGUGCACUGAAUGUGAUAGGACUCCUGGGGGAAACAAUAGCGUGUGAUCAUGUAAUUAAAGACUGCAUUGUAGUACUAUAACGCAUAUGCAUAUAUGGGUCAAAAUUAAGGUUACUUGGGCAACCGUAACUUUGGCAUUUCGAAACUUGUGAGUGUUCCACUUUGUAACCUUAAGGUUCUUUUAUCUAGACAGUUUGGCUAGACCAACACAAGAGCUCAGAAAGCAAGGCUCUUGGAAUUAAUCUCAAAAUAUCCUAUCGGUUAAGGCAGAGUGCCAUUUCAUUCCGUUCACACUUGCACGUUGAAUGAAACCUGGCUCACAGUGUUUUUUGUAGGACUUGGAAUUCCACACGCAUAUGCAGUCCAGUUCUGCUUUUCUGUGAAACACAGAGACUCCUAGAGCAGGUGCAGCAUAGGUGCAAAGUAUCAUUACAGCCUCAUCCCUCAGCUGAAUUGAAGUUGAUUUUUUGCUGGAAAACUGAAAGGCACUUCUCCUCACUAAGGACUAUGGCAAGUUUUGACUUUCCAACCAGAAAAGCUUCACCCUGAAGCAGUGGCAAGAGGAGGUUUUUAAUGGAAAUGGUCCGGCAACCUUAACUGUAAGUGCCAUGCUGCUCCAGCCAUCACUGCAGUCCAAAGUGCUGAGUUCACCUAGUGCGUCACUGGGCACUGAUGUUUUGGGACACCCCGGUGGGUUUGCUGUUGGUUCUUUUAAUCAGAAUAUGUUUUACUGUUAUCAUUCCCUUUGUAUUGCAGUGUCUGUCAAACCAUUGCUUGUUCAACACGGGAUUUCCAAUAAAUCGCCAUUAGUUGAAGUAA